GUGCACAUUUCAUUGUCUUUUUUCUUUACAUGAAGAAAAAAAGUUAUUUCUGAUGUGCUAAACAAAUCUUUAGCGGUAAAUUAGCAGCGUGACUAAUUUAGCAAUUGUCAGUCACCUUCAGACAGUG
ensembl:snoRNA